UUGAAAGGGAAACGAUUGAAGUCAGUCGUUCCUUCGGGUAAUCAGCCUUUCGGGUGCGAUUCUGUGGAGCGUGGGGAGUUAAACGCCUUCAUGCCUGCAUAUUCGUGCACUUUGGGUGUACUUGCCCGUGUGGUAGGUUAACAUCAAUUUCGGAUGUCAUAAAAUGGCUGGAGGAAUGUAGCUUCGGUCUCGUACUGAAGUGUUAUAGCCUUUGGUAGAUGUGAUGACCGGGAUUGAGGAUUGCAACGAAUACCUUUUGGGCUACCCGCCUGGUCUCUGAAAGUUGCUCUGGUGCCGAAAGCUUGCUUACGGUUAUCAAAGUUGACGUUCAAAAGGUUAGAACGGGUUAAAUUCGUUAAGGAUGUUGACGUA
rnacentral:rRNA from 1 species